GAAGGCAGCAGGCGCGCAAAUUACCCAAUCCCAAUACGGGGAGGUAGUGACAAUAAAUACUGAUACGGGGCUCUUUCGGGUCUCGUAAUUGGAAUGAGUACAAUCUAAAUCCCUUAACGAGGAACAAUUGGAGGGCAAGUCUGGUGCCAGCAGCCGCGGUAAUUCCAGCUCCAAUAGCGUAUAUUAAAGUUGUUGCCGUUAAAAAGCUCGUAGUUGAACCUUGGACCUGGCUGAUCUGUCCUCCUAAUCGAGCGCACGGAUUCGGUCGGGUCUUUCCUUCUGGGGAGCCCUAUGCCCUUCACUGGGUGUAGUGGGGAACCAGGACUUUUACCUUGAAAAAAUUAGAGUGUUCAAAGCAGGCCUUUGCUCGAAUACAUUAGCAUGGAAUAAUAGAACAGGACAUCGGUUCUAUUUUGUUGGUUUCUAGGACCGCUGUAAUGAUUAAUAGGGAUAGUCGGGGGCGUCAGUAUUCAAUUGUCAGAGGUGAAAUUCUUGGAUUUAUUGAAGACUAACUACUGCGAAAGCAUUCGCCAAGGAUGUUUUCAUUAAUCAGUGAACGAAAGUUAGGGGAUCGAAGACGAUCAGAUACCGUCGUAGUCUUAACCAUAAACUAUGCCGACUAGGGAUCGGACGGUGGUUUUUUUAUGCCCCGUUCGGCACCUUACGAGAAAUCAAAGUUUU
rnacentral:rRNA from 1 species